UACGAAGGGAGCUAGCGUUGUUCGGAAUCACUGGGCGUAAAGCGCACGUAGGCGGAUUUGUCAGUCGGGGGUGAAAUCCCGAGGCUCAACCUCGGAACUGCCUCCGAUACAGCAAAUCUCGAGUCCGGGAGAGGUGGGUGGAAUUCCUAGUGUAGAGGUGAAAUUCGUAGAUAUUAGGAAGAACACCAGUGGCGAAGGCGGCCCACUGGCUCGAUUAUGACUCUGAGGUGCGAAAGCGUGGGGAGCAAACAGG
rnacentral:rRNA from 1 species